UGAGGAAUAUUGCGCAAUGGACGAAAGUCUGACGCAGCGACGCCGCGUGGAGGAUGACGGUCUUCGGAUUGUAAACUCCUGUUAAGAGGGAAGAAAACAGCGAUCUUUAAUAGAGAUUGCUCAUGACGGUACCUCUAGAGAAAGCACCGGCUAACUUCGUGCCAGCAGCCGCGGUAAUACGAGGGGUGCAAACGUUAUUCGGAAUAACUGGGCGUAAAGGGUGCGUAGACGGUACAUUAAGCUUGUUGUUAAAUUCCCUAGCCUAACUGGGGCUAAGCGGUGAGAACUGGUGUACUAGAGGGUGAGAGAGAGAAGUGGAAUUUCCGGAGUAGCGGUAAAAUGCGUAGAUCUCGGAAGGAACACCAAUGGCGAAGGCAGCUUCUUGGCUCAUACCUGACGUUGAGGCACGAAAGCGUGGGGAGCAAACA
rnacentral:rRNA from 1 species